rnacentral:rRNA from 1 species
GAUGAACGCUGGCGGCGUGCCUAAUACAUGCAAGUCGAACGAACAGACGCUGCUCUUGCUCCUUUCUCGUUAGCGGCGGACGGGUGUGUAACACGUGUAUCACCUCCCUAUAUGACUGGUAUCACUUCGGGAAUCCGGCGCUUAUACCGGAUAAUAUCUUGCACCGCAUUGUUCAUUAGUGAAAUACGGUUUUGCUGUCUCUUCUCGCUGCUUCUGCGCUGCAUUAGCUAGUUGUUAAGGUAACGGCUUAUCACGGCGACGAUGCGUAACCGAACUGAGAGAGGGAUCGGCGACACUGGAGCUGAGACGCGGUCAAGACGCCUACGGGAGGCAGCAGUAGGGAAUCGGACGCAGUGGGCGAAAGCAUGACGGAGCAACGCCGAGUGAGUGAUGAAGGUGUUGGGAGCGUAAAAAUCUGUUAUGAGGGAAGAACAAAUGUGGAAGGAAAUAUGCACGGAUUGACGGUAACGGAUCAGAAAGCAACGGCUAACUACGUG